CGGAUUGCAGGCUGCAACCCGCCUGCAUGAAGUCGGAAUCGCUAGUAAUCGCGGAUCAGCAUGCCGCGGUGAAUACGUUCCCGGGCCUUGUACACACCGCCCGUCACACCAUGAGAGUCGGGAACACCCGAAGUCCGUAGCCUAACCGCAAGGGGGGCGCGGCCGAAGGUGGGUUCGAUAAUUGGGGUGAAGUCGUAACAAGGUAAC
rnacentral:rRNA from 1 species